CUAGCUGUCCAGACACCCUUUUGCAAUUUUUGUUUGAAUUGAUUUUUUUAAAAGCACCUGAUAUAUACUUUUCUUCUUAUUCUUCUCCUUCUAGUCCUCUAUUCAAGGCCCACCACAGAGACACAGGAAUGGAACUCAGAAUCACAAACAAAGAAACCUCGGUCCAAGAAAGAAAAUGAUCUUUAAAAAGACCCUCGUUUCAUGCUUGCCGAUGCUGAGACAAUCGGCUCUGGAGGAUAUUUGGAGACACCGAUUAAAAGAAAUGUGGUAGCCCAAGACCCAAGCAAGGAUAGGAUUUCCCAGACAUUCCCAGGGGAGACAAUCCCAUGUGCUUUCCUUCUGAUGUCACAUCAGAAUCUGAAGGCUGCUAGAGAAGGGAGAGGCACAUGCAAGUGCAUCCCAUGCUGAUUGUUGUUGAAAUACCUGGAAAGAAACUGGCAAAGACUAUCCAAGAGCCAAGGAGCAUCAACAUUUGGCUUCAGAGAUGCUGCUAAAUCCUGAAUAAACAAGAGUGAACAAGCAAGGGAAAUUAGCUGUCAUGUGAGGAUACUCAAACAGUUUAUAAAGAGGUUCAUGCGGCAAGGAAUGGAGGCCUCCUGCCAACAGCCAUGUAAAGGAGUCAUCUAGGAAACAGAUUCUCCAGCCCCAGUCAGACCUUCAGAUAAUUACAGCCCCUACCAAUAUUCUGACUGCAGUGGAAGGAAAGACCCUGAACUAGAACCACCCAGGUAAGAUAAUCCUGGAUUCCUGACCUAGAGAAACUCUGAGAUAGUAUUUGUUGUUUAAAGCCACAUCUUUGUGGGACAAUGUAUUAAGCAUAACUAAUACAUGUGAUUAGGGAAGCUUUUAAUAAGAGGUUAACAGAUUAGCAGAGACCAGAAUGAAAAAGGGGAAUGAGCCAGGUAAAUAUAUGUGUGAAGAAUGCUUAAAGUAGAGGGGAUAGAACUGGCAUAGGUCCUGUGGUUAGAACAAGCUUCAUAUUUUUCAAGGAAAAUUGCAGGACUUGGAAAUGGGCAAGAGAUACCCAAGUAUCCAUUCAGUGGAGGGCUGAGCAUUGUCUAGGAUAUCCUCUGGGGAUAUCUGAUUAUAUUGAGAUGUUUCUCUUUAACUGAAUUUCUAUUUUCUAAGUUAUUUUACUUGUGGAAAACUGACAGUAACGCAAAUGAUCCUCCUUAAAGAAAUACAAUGAAUUUUGUCUAGUACAGAUGUGACGGAAUUCUACCCUGUAGAAAAGAGAGUCCCAAACAAUACAUUUUAAGCAGCUCUAUGGAAAUAUAAUUCGUAUACCAUACAAUUCAUCCAUUUAAAGCUUAAAAUUCAGUUUUGUUCAGUAUGUGCACAGGGUUGUACAAACAGCACAACAAUCUAAUUUUAGACCGUUUUAUUGUUCCUCCUCAUUCCUUCAAAGAAACCCCAUCCCCAUUAGCAGCUCCUUCUCAUUCUUUUUCAUGUUUUUUCCCCCAUCUUCCAAGCCCUAGGCAACCACUAAUCUACCCUCUGUCUCUAUAGAUUUGCUUAUUCUGAAAAUUUUAUGUAAAUGUAAACCUACAGUAUGCAGUCUUUCAAAACUGAUUUCUGUCACUUAGCAUAAUGGUUUCAAGGUUCAUCUAUGCUGUAACAUGUAUCAAUACUUCAUUCUUUAUUGCCAAAUAAUAUUCAAUUGUAUAGAUAACUAUAUUUUUGUGGUUUUUGUAUAGGUAACUAUUUUCUCCCAUUAGGAGGUUUGCCUUUUUCACUUCUUGAUGGUAUUAUUUGCAAAAUAAGAGUUUUUAAUUUUAAAUCCAAUUUAUAUUAUUUCUUUUGUUGCCUGUGCUUUUGAUGUUGUAUCAAAGACACCAUCACUUGACAUAAAGCCACAAAGGUUUAUUUUUUUGUUUUCUUCUAAGAGUUUUAGUGUUUUAGCUCUUACAUUUAGGUUUAUGAUUCAUUUUCAGUUUAUGUCUGUAUGUGUUAUGUGGUAGAGAUCCAAAUUUAUUCUUUCGUAUGUGGAUGUCCAGAUGUCCCUCCACAAUUUGUUAAAUAGAGUAUUCUUUCUUCAUUAAAUUGUGACUGUACUUUUGUUGAACAUCAACUGAUCAUAAAAAUAUGGUUUAUUUAUGCACUC
ensembl:lncRNA